GGGCCAGCUUAGCCUAGCGGUUCCUUCAGCAACGUAGCAUUGUUUCUACAACAACCGCUCUGGUUCGCGUCCCGCGGGCGCUGCCUGGCCUUUUG
rnacentral:vault_RNA from 1 species